rnacentral:rRNA from 1 species
UACGGAGGGGGCUAGCGUUGUUCGGAAUUACUGGGCGUAAAGCGCGCGUAGGCGGACCUGCAAGUCGGGGGUGAAAGCCCGAGGCUCAACCUCGGAACUGCCUUCGAUACUGCGGGUCUCGAGUCCGGGAGAGGUGAGUGGAAUUCCUAGUGUAGAGGUGAAAUUCGUAGAUAUUAGGAAGAACACCAGUGGCGAAGGCGGCUCACUGGCCCGGUACUGACGCUGAGACACGAAAGCGUGGGGAGCAAACAGG